AGCGAACGCUGGCGGCAGGCCUAACACAUGCAAGUCGAGCGCCCAGCAAUGGGAGCGGCAGACGGGUGAGUAACGCGUGGGGAUCUGCCCAAUGGUACGGAAUAACCCAGGGAAACUUGGAUUAACACCGUAUGUGCCCUUCGGGGGAAAGAUUUAUCGCCAUUGGAUGAACCCGCGUCGGAUUAGCUAGUUGGUGGGGUAAAGGCUCACCAAGGCGACGAUCCGUAGCUGGUCUGAGAGGAUGAUCAGCCACACUGGGACUGAGACACGGCCCAGACUCCUACGGGAGGCAGCAGUGGGGAAUAUUGGACAAUGGGCGCAAGCCUGAUCCAGCCAUGCCGCGUGAGUGAUGAAGGCCUUAGGGUUGUAAAGCUCUUUCGCCGGUGAAGAUAAUGACGGUAACCGGAGAAGAAGCCCCGGCUAACUUCGUGCCAGCCGCCGCGGUAAGAC
rnacentral:rRNA from 1 species